AUAAAAUGCUAUCUGAUGAAGACUGAAUUAAAUCGUUAGUGUGAAGGCUUUACUUUGUGUCACGAUUUAAAGGUAAAGCUGCUCCCUCGAGACUCCGGGCAGGAGUCUACAGGUCUAUACGUAACGAUGUUCGAUCUGUACGCGACCGUCGAGUACAGGUAGCGCACGUCGAGCAACGCGCGUCUCAUCGCGAAGCGUGGACGACGCACGUCGACGGCGGCGGAGGAAGGAGCUCGUCUGGAGGCCUCGGACGGAUCCCGACCGAGGCGGAGCGGCCCGUCAGAGCGCCGUCCGAAGGGGCGAGCGCGUGCGCCGGACCGGAAGGCGAGGCGACGACUCGUCGGCGGCGAGAGACGUCGAUCGAUCUGCGAACGACUUUAGGGCAAGCGCGAGACCCGAUCGGACGGCGGUGACCCAGCGGGUAGACCUUCGGGCCGUCGACCGGAAGAUCGGCGGUCGAAGUCGGGGCUCUGCCACGCGGCCACCGCCGGGUCCUCGAGCGAGACCCGCCCGCCGCGAGACGGCCGACCCCGCGCUCUGACCGCGGCUUCCGAACGAGCUGGGAUACAUGUACGUAUACGUACGGAGAGCUACCGCCGAGGGCCAUCGGCAGCAGUAGCGGCAGCAGCACGGGAAAACAACAUGGGAAAAGCCGGAGAAAACGAACGGGUCCGACCGACACACUCUGGACCGAGCCUCGAGACACGCCGUAGACGAGGUAGGA